rnacentral:rRNA from 1 species
AGACGAACGCUGGCGGCAGGCUUAACACAUGCAAGUCGAACGGGCGUAGCAAUAACGUCAGUGGCAGACGGGUGAGUAACGCGUGGGAACGGUACCUUUUGGUUCGGAACAACCCAGGGAAACGUUGGGCUAAUACCGGAUAAGCCCUUACGGGAAAGAUUUAUCGCCGAAAGAUCGGCCCGCGUCUCGAUUAGCUAAGUUGGUGUGGUAACGGCGCACCAAGGCGACGG